CUUCCAGCUUUCCUGAAUAUGAGAUAUGUAUGAGCGAGAAAUUAGACGGUAUUCCACCAUCGCAUGUUGUCAACAUUGAAACAAAUAUGGCGAUACGUUGUUUGUGUUAUUUAUCAUCAAUGAAAAGUUUCUUGUACAGCUACAAGAGCGAUACACUAGGACUUAUAAGUGAAGAUUUUAAAUCUGAUGUCAAGAAAUUCAUUGAUAUAAAAUUUGAAAACAGCUCGAAAAA